UACGUAGGGGGCAAGCGUUGCCCGGAAUCAUUGGGCGUAAAGAGCGUGUAGGCGGCCCGAUAAGUCCGCCGUGAAAGUCCAGGGCUCAACCCUGGAAUGCCGGUGGAAACUGUCGGGCUGGAGUCCGGAAGAGGCGAGUGGAAUUCCUGGUGUAGCGGUGAAAUGCGCAGAUAUCAGGAGGAACACCAAUGGCGAAGGCAGCUCGCUGGGACGGUACUGACGCUGAGACGCGAAAGCGUGGGGAGCAAACAGG
rnacentral:rRNA from 1 species